AAAAAACCGACACAAAAUUACUGAAAGGUUUCUAUGAAAAAUUAGCAUUUAUAUUACAGAACAAAGUUCAAUGAAGCGCUAUUAAUUGGAAUGUCCUAGAUGGAAUGGCAAGUGGGGUAAAAAGUUCGGAGGAAGAUGGAUAUGACGCCGUGCAAUAAAGUCUAAAAUCUGUUUUUGAUGCUUAGCGAUUUGCACCUAGGAAAGUGGAAAGUGGCUAUACGGAUAAUUGUUAUUGAUGGCGCAUUACGGGAUUGUCGGAUUGGCAAGACAGUUAAAUGAAUCUUAUGGAACCACGCUAUGUCAUUUCCAUUGACGUCCGGCCUCAAUCUGUUAAUGAGUUGCGGAAGGUGUAUCAUUUAUGGAGUGGGAACAAUUAGCUUCUCUUUCGGGUUGUAAGGCAAGUGUACUUGUACGUGCUUAAUGUGCUUAUGAUGAAUUAUGCCCACUCAAACCGC
ensembl:ncRNA lncRNA:CR42696 long non-coding RNA:CR42696